CCAAGAAAAGACGCGCCCGAAAGGGACGUCAUUUCACACCAUUGUGUACCAAACUUUUGUUGCCUCGGUGGGUUGGGCUGCUUGCCUACCCGGCACAACCCCCCUUAGGGGAGUCGCCCACCGCAGGACCUUUCAAACCAGUUCGUUGAUGAACGUCUGAUUUUUAUUCUUGUAAAGAAAUA
rnacentral:misc_RNA from 1 species